GGGGAAGUAGCUCAGUUGGUUAGAGCCUAGGGUCGGUGGUUCAAGUCCGCCCUUCUCCA
rnacentral:tRNA from 1 species